UGAGUAACACGUGGGUAACCUGCCCAUCAGAAGGGGAUAACACUUGGAAACAGGUGCUAAUACCGUAUAACAAUCGAAACCGCAUGGUUUUGAUUUGAAAGGCCCUUUCGGGUGUCGCUGAUGGAUGGACCCGCGGUGCAUUAGCUAGUUGGUGAGGUAACGGCUCACCAAGGCCACGAUGCAUAGCCGACCUGAGAGGGUGAUCGGCCACAUUGGGACUGAAGACACGGCCCAAACUCCUACGGGAGGCAGCAGUAGGGAAUCUUCGGCAAUGGACGAAAGUCUGACCGAGCAACGCCGCGUGAGUGAAGAAGGUUUUCGGAUCGUAAAACUCUGUUGUUAGAGAAGAACAAGGAUGAGAGUAACUGUUCAUCCCUUGACGGUAUCUAACCAGAAAGCCACGGCUAACUACGUGCCAGCAGCCGCGGUAAUACGUAGGUGGCAAGCGUUGUCCGGAUUUAUUGGGCGUAAAGCGAGCGCAGGCGGUUUCUUAAGUCUGAUGUGAAAGCCCCCGGCUCAACCGGGGAGGGUCAUUGGAAACUGGGAGACUUGAGUGCAGAAGAGGAGAGUGGAAUUCCAUGUGUAGCGGUGAAAUGCGUAGAUAUAUGGAGGAACACCAGUGGGCCGAAGGCGGGCUCUCUGGUCUGUAACUGACGCUUGGAGGCUCGAAAGCGUGGGGAGCAAACAGGAUUAGAUACCCUGGUAGUCCACGCCGUAAACGAUGA
rnacentral:rRNA from 1 species